AUUCCGGUUGAUCCUGCCGGAGGCCAUUGCUAUCGGAGUUCGAUUUAGCCAUGCUAGUCGCACGGGUUUAGACCCGUGGCAGAUAGCUCAGUGACACGUGGCCAAACUACCCUAUGGAUCAGAACAACCUCGGGAAACUGAGGCUAAUUCUGAAUAAGGCUCCCUGCCUGGAAUGGCUUGAGCUGG
rnacentral:rRNA from 1 species